rfam:Hordeum vulgare subsp. vulgare, WGS project CAJW01000000 data, contig: morex_contig_165545
AUCUUACUCCCUUCAUCCGGAAAUACUUGUUUUAAAGAUGAAUGUAUCUAGACUUAUNUUAGUUAUAGAUACAUUCAUUAUAUCCAUUUCUGGGACAAGUAUUUCCGGACGGAGUGAGUAUUUA